AAUCAAUCUCAAGGAAGCUCUUUGGGAGCCAGGAUUCCCAGCACUUAGCUGGUGGGCAAAGGGGUUCAACCCCUUCCCCACACCCCACCUUCCCUCCUCCCAGUCUUCGGGAUUGCGGAGCUCCUGCCGGGAUCCAAGAGCAGGCUCUUGGAGGUCGAAGAAGGAUAUAACCUCCAGACCUGGAAUUUAAGACGCAAGAACCAGCCAGCAAAAGUGGCAGCCGAGCAUGCGAGGGACUGCUGAUGGCUUUUUAUUAGGAAGCUAUGCAACUUGAGGUUCUACUGAAAAGGAGAAGAGGCCACUGGAGAUGGGAAGCCACGAAAACGGACGAGAAACUACAGCAUUACUUCUGCAGAUUCACAAAGGAGUCCACGUUCCAAGAUGAGAGAAAUACCAGAAGCCGAUGGCUAUUCUACUUGACUGAAUGAAAAGAAAAGGAAGGCACUUCCUGUCAAUCCUGCUUUGGAUUCCUAGACAGUUUAAGAAGCACCAUUGAUCUGAUCAUUGGCACUGAGGAGGAAAUGCCCAUCCGCAGAAGACAUGCAGGGCUCAACCCAGCUUGACAUGGGCAAAUGAAAAUUGGAUGGAGUUAUGGCGGGACACUCUUACUGGACACUGAAACCAUCCUGCAGCAAAUUGCUUCUGUGAAAUCUUUCUGCUGUUUGGGAGGUAUCCUUCUAUAGCACAGAAACGGAAACUUCAGCCAGAAGAGAGGAAUUCAGUGACUCCAUGCCAACAGAAACAGAGCUCUGCAUUUGUUUCCUGAGCCUACUUGCACUUGGAAGGUUUCUUUCCUCACAAGAAACAUGUGUUACAGGAUAUAAAAGUGGCUUUCCGUUUGGGGUUAGAACCCGAAACAGAAAGACAACAGAGAAAAAUUUCAGCUCAGCCUUUCUAGAUUGGAAAUGAUGCAUGAAUGUUGUUGUUUCUCCAAGACUUCAGCACAGGUAUAACAUGGUGCUAAUUUAAUCACCCGGUGAAUCACCUUUUCUCUGUGAGAUGUUAACACUGAUGUAAGAUGUUUCCAUGUGAGGAACGGGAAAGACUUGAGACACAAAAAAGCUUCAAGGAUUGGUAAAUAGAAUAAUGUGGUCUGUACCCCACUAAUUUUUCUUGCCAUCCAUGAGAGGCCCGAUGGGCUGCAGCAAUGCAUCAUUUAGAUCGCCCCUUCAGCUGGUUCAUGGAAAACUAACAAAAAUUGAUGUUGUUAUCUGGGGUUUUCGUGUGUGAUUUGUCUAACUCUUUACAUUCAUUAUGGGUUUUGCCCUUCUUUAAUAAAAUGGCCUGAUAUUGCCUUCAGA
rnacentral:lncRNA from 1 species